rnacentral:rRNA from 1 species
AUGUGUUUUGUGAACAGGUACUUGGAGGAUUUUGAGAUUGCUACGAACCGUGCACCAUCGAGACCUACACGGCCGGCGAUGCCAAGGCCACGCAGAUGGAUCCCGCCGGGAGAAGAUGUGAUGAAAAUCAAUGUAGACGGGGCUACUUCGCGCCAAGGAAGAACUGGUGCAUCUGCUGCUGUGUGUCGGGACAGAGAUGGCAACUAUCUGGGAUCGUCAGCAGUCGUCUUUGAGGGCCUAGUCGACGCUCCAAGCUUGGAAGCUCAAGCGUGCAAUGAGGCGCUUGCCUUGGCUAUGGAUCUUCUGUUAACACAUGUGGUAAUAGCCUCAGAUUGCAUGCAGGUUGUCUCGGACAUUAAGGGGAGGAGGUUUCUUCCGCUUGUGCUUUUGUAA